AGAAUCACCAUACAGAGCUACUCUCAGCCAUGGAAUCCCAAACAAACAUUGAUAAUGCUGAAAUGCACUUCAAGCCAAACUUAAGAAAUUUCUUUCAAAAUGCUAACUUCCACCAUAUGCGCCAAAACGCUCCCGGGUUAUCCAAAGCCCAAACCAGGCAUACGCCAAAUAAGAAAUCAUCAUACAAACCUGCUGGAAUCUUUAGAUUUUGAUUCCAAGGUCUUUUACUUAAAAAUCCAAUCUUAGUUCAUUCUUUCUACUUUAAGAUUCCAAAAUGAGAAUUCUCUUCCCAAAUCAACUCCAAACUUUCAAAAAUUCAAUUCCAGCCAUGCGUACAAGUCAUAACACCUGAAAUGAAGCUGCUCAUAGUCUUAGACUGCUAAACAGCGCACUAGGGCUUAAACAACCAGUUGGGUCAUUACAAACUAAGUACACACGCACACUCUCUCUCAAACUCUCUCUUCUUUCUCUGUUACAUGUG
rnacentral:lncRNA from 1 species